AUCCUCCAGAUUCCUUACUUCUCAGAUCUAGAUAUUGGUCUAAGAGGCUGAAAAAGGAGGCAAAGUAAAUCUAAAGUGGACUUGGAGUUUUUAAUGACACACGGGUUCAUUUCAGAUAUUA
rnacentral:snoRNA from 1 species